rnacentral:lncRNA from 1 species
AGAGGGAAAGAGGAGAUAGCUUCGGGAUCGGGGGAGAGGGAGAAGUGGUGAGCGGCUCCGUCAAGGCUCGGGUUGCUCGAAUCUGGUGAACUCAUUGUUGAUUAGGGGGAGGUUCGAGCAGAAAGAGCUCAGAUUCAAUGAGCCUAGCAUUGAUAGGGGAGGGCCCAUGUCCUCAGGCCCUUGGUGUCGAUAGGGAAGCAGUCAG